ensembl:snRNA U6 U6 spliceosomal RNA
GUACUUCAGCAGCACACACAUUAAAACUGGAACAAUUCAGAAGAUUAGCAUGGCCCCUGAAAAAAGAUGACAUGCAAAUUUGUGAAAUGUUCCAUAUUUUU